AAACUGUAAUAACAACAAAUACUACUGUGAAAACUUCUUUCUGAUUAAAUAAUAAUAACAGGGCAUGCGGUAAAUUAAAUGACUGUAAUAGCAAAAGCUCUAGCUGCCUGCAAGAUUGAUUAAGCAGGAACCAGAAUAGGUUCUACAAUUUUUUAUUUUCAAAGUUAUCAUGAUAAAGAUUAAAAGAAUAAAACCAAAGCCAAAGG
rnacentral:misc_RNA from 1 species